UACGUAGGGUGCGAGCGUUAAUCGGAAUUACUGGGCGUAAAGCGUGCGCAGGCGGCUUCGCAAGUCAGACGUGAAAUCCCCGGGCUUAACCUGGGAAUGGCGUUUGAAACUACGGAGCUGGAGUGUGGCAGAGGGAGGUAGAAUUCCACGUGUAGCGGUGAAAUGCGUAGAUAUGUGGAGGAAUACCGAUGGCGAAGGCAGCCUCCUGGACCAACACUGACGCUCAUGCACGAAAGCGUGGGGAGCAAACAGG
rnacentral:rRNA from 1 species